UACGUAGGGUGCGAGCGUUGUCCGGAAUUACUGGGCGUAAAGAGCUCGUAGGCGGUUUGUUGCGUCGGGCGUGAAAACCUGCAGCUUAACUGUGGGCUUGCGGCCGAUACGGGCAGACUUGAGUUCGGUAGGGGAGACUGGAAUUCCUGGUGUAGCGGUGAAAUGCGCAGAUAUCAGGAGGAACACCGGUGGCGAAGGCGGGUCUCUGGGCCGAUACUGACGCUGAGGAGCGAAAGCGUGGGGAGCGAACAGG
rnacentral:rRNA from 1 species